GCAAAAUGCAUUGUCUCUGUCAUCAGAAAAUUUAGAAUGAUAAUCAAAGUGCAGUCUGAUAAGUUCUACAGUGUACAUAAUAUGGUGGAAACAGCAGAGGGAGUGCUUAACUUCUUGGAGGAAUUAGAAAAGACUUUGCAAAAGUGGUGACAUUUAAAAUGGGCCUUAAGAGUUAAAAGGAGCUCUCUAGGUAAAAAGGGAGGCAGCAGGAAUUACAGAGAUAGAAAAUAGCAACUAAGCUGAAAAGAAAAAAAAAAAAAACAUUGGCACAGAAAUGAGAAAAACGCAUGACAAGAAAGGAACUUAGGCUAGACAGGUAAAGGAGGCAAGGGACAAAGGUGAAGUUGUGAAGGAUUCAUACUGAUGCAGUUUGGGUGUGUGUCCCUUCCAUACCUCAUGUUGAAGUGUAAUCCCCCGGCCAGGCACAGUGGCUCACGCCUGUAAUCCCAGCACUUUGGGAGGCCAAGGUGGGUGAAUCACAAGGUCGGGAGAUCGAGACCAUCCUGGCUAACACGGUGAAACACUGUCUCUACGAAAAAUAUAAAACAUUAGCCAGGCGUGGUGG
rnacentral:lncRNA from 1 species